AGUUCAGUGGUAGAACGCUCGCCUUCCAUGUGGGAGACCUGGAUUCGAUUCCCAG
rnacentral:tRNA from 1 species